rnacentral:rRNA from 1 species
GAUGAACGCUGGCUACAGGCUUAACACAUGCAAGUCGAGGGGAAACGACGGGGAAGCUUGCUUCCCCGGGCGUCGACCGGCGCACGGGUGAGUAACGCGUAUCCAACCUGCCUCUGACUGAGGGAUAACCCGUCGAAAGUCGGCCUAAUACCUCAUGGCAUCGUCUGCGGGCAUCCAACGACGAUUAAAGAUUUCAUCGGUCAGAGAUGGGGAUGCGUCUGAUUAGCUUGUUGGCGGGGUAACGGCCCACCAAGGCGACGAUCAGUAGGGGUUCUGAGAGGAAGGUCCCCCACAUUGGAACUGAGACACGGUCCAAACGCCUACGGGAGGCAGCAGUGAGGAAUAUUGGUCAAUGGGCGAGAGCCUGAACCAGCCAAGUAGCGUGCAGGAUGACGGCCCUAUGGGUUGUAAACUGCUUUUAGGCGGGGAUAAAGUGAGGGACGUGUCCUUCAUUGCAGGUACCGCAUGAAUAAGGACCGGCUAAUUCCGUG